GAGUUUGAUCCUGGCUCAGGAUGAACGCUAGCGGCAGGCUUAAUACAUGCAAGUCGAGGGGCAGCAUGUCCCGACGCAAGUCGGGAUGAUGGCGACCGGCAAACGGGUGCGGAACACGUACAGAACCUCCCUUCGAGCGGGGAAUAGCCCGGAGAAAUCCGGAUUAAUACCCCAUAGUAUAGUGAAGAGGCAUCUCUUUACUAUUAAAGAUUUAUCACUUGAAGAUGGCUGUGCGGCUGAUUAGGUAGUUGGCGGGGUAACGGCCCACCAAGCCUGUGAUCAGUAACUGGUGUGAGAGCACGACCAGUCACACGGGCACUGAGACACGGGCCCGACUCCUACGGGAGGCAGCAGUAAGGAAUAUUGGUCAAUGGACGAAAGUCUGAACCAGCCAUGCCGCGUGGAGGAUGAAGGUCCUCUGGAUUGUAAACUUCUUUUAUUUGGGACGAAAAAAGGGAUUCUUUCUCACUUGACGGUACCAGAUGAAUAAGCACCGGCUAACUCCGUGCCAGCAGCCGC
rnacentral:rRNA from 1 species